UGGGGAAUAUUGGACAAUGGGCGGAAGCCUGAUCCAGCAACGCCGCGUGAGGGAUGACGGCCUUCGGGUUGUAAACCUCUUUCAGUACCGACGAAGUUUCAUUCUUUUGGGUGGGGUGACGGUAGGUACAGAAGAAGCACCGGCCAACUACGUGCCAGCAGCCGCGGUAAUACGUAGGGUGCGAGCGUUGUCCGGAAUUAUUGGGCGUAAAGGGCUCGUAGGCGGUUUGUUGCGUCGGGAGUGAAAACAUCCAGCUUAACUGGGUGCUUGCUUUCGAUACGGGCAGACUUGAGGUAUGCAGGGGAGAAUGGAAUUCCUGGUGUAGCGGUGAAAUGCGCAGAUAUCAGGAGGAACACCGGUGGCGAAGGCGGUUCUCUGGGCAUUACCUGACGCUGAGGAGCGAAAGUGUGGGGAGCGAACAG
rnacentral:rRNA from 1 species